UACAUGGGGUGCAAACGUUGCUCGGAAUUAUUGGGCGUAAAGCGCACGUAGGCGGUUUGUUAAGUCGGAUGUGAAAUCCCUCGGCUCAACUGAGGAAGUGCAUCCGAAACUGGCAGGCUUGAGUACUAAAGAGGGUCGCGGAAUUCCCGGUGUAGAGGUGAAAUUCGUAGAUAUCGGGAGGAACACCGGUGGCGAAGGCGGCGACCUGGGUAGAUACUGACGCUGAGGUGACGAAAGCGUGGG
rnacentral:rRNA from 1 species